AAGUCGUAACAAGGUUUCCGUAGGUGAACCUGCGGAAGGAUCAUUAAAAAAUUUCAAUCGAGAAUUUAUUCUUGUUUUGAAUUAUCCAACCUUUUUUAUCCACCUUUAAAUCUUUGUCUGAAAACUCUUUCUUAUUUCGCAAGAAAUAGAAAAUUGUAACCAAAUACAACUUUUAACAAUGGAUCUCUUGGCUCUC
rnacentral:misc_RNA from 1 species